rnacentral:rRNA from 1 species
GACCAUCCUCCAAGGCUAAAUACUCCUGACUGACCGAUAGUGAACCAGUACCGUGAGGGAAAGGCGAAAAGAACCCCGGCGAGGGGAGUGAAAAAGAACCUGAAACCGUGUACGUACAAGCAGUGGGAGCACCCUUUUGGGUGUGACUGCGUACCUUUUGUAUAAUGGGUCAGCGACUUAUAUUCUGUAGCAAGGUUAACCGAAUAGGGGAGCCGGAGGGAAACCGAGUCUUAAUUGGGCGUUAAGUUGCAGGGUAUAGACCCGAAACCCGGUGAUCUAGCCAUGGGCAGGUUGAAGGUUGGGUAACACUAACUGGAGGACCGAACCGACUAAUGUUGAAAAAUUAGCGGAUGACCUGUGGCUGGGGGUGAAAGGCCAAUCAAACCGGGAGAUAGCUGGUUCUCCCCGAAAGCUAUUUAGGUAGCGCCUCGUGAAUUCAUCUCCGGGGGUAGAGCACUGUUUCGGCUAGGGGGCCAUCCCGGCUUACCAACCCGAUGCAAACUGCGAAUACCGGAGAAUGUUAUCACGGGAGACACACGGCGGGUGCUAACGUCCGUCGUGAAGAGGGAAACAACCCAGACCGCCAGCUAAGGUCCCAAAGUCAUGGUUAAGUGGGAAACGAUGUGGGAAGGCCCAGACAGCCAGGAUGUUGGCUUAGAAGCAGCCAUCAUUUAAAGAAAGCGUAAUAGCUCACUGGUCGAGUCGGCCUGCGCGGAAGAUGUAACGGGGCUAAACCAUGCACCGAAGCUGCGGCAGCGACGCUGAUGCGUUGUUGGGUAGGGGAGCGUUCUGUAAGCCUGCGAAGGUGGCCUGUGAGGGUUGCUGGAGGUAUCAGAAGUGCGAAUGCUGACAUAAGUAACGAUAAAGCGGGUGAAAAGCCCGCUCGCCGGAAGACCAAGGGUUCCUGUCCAACGUUAAUCGGGGCAGGGUGAGUCGACCCCUAAGGCGAGGCCGAAAGGCGUAGUCGAUGGGAAACGGGUUAAUAUUCCCGUACUUGGUGUUACUGCGAAGGGGGGACGGAGAAGGCUAUGUUGGCCGGGCGACGGUUGUCCCGGUUUAAGCGUGUAGGUGUGUGUUCCAGGUAAAUCCGGUUCACUUUAACACUGAGGCGUGAUGACGAGGCACUACGGUGCUGAAGCAACAAAUGCCCUGCUUCCAGGAAAAGCCUCUAAGCAUCAGGUAACAUCAAAUCGUACCCCAAACCGACACAGGUGGUCAGGUAGAGAAUACCAAGGCGCUUGAGAGAACUCGGGUGAAGGAACUAGGCAAAAUGGUGCCGUAACUUCGGGAGAAGGCACGCUGACACGUAGGUGAAGUGAUUUACUCAUGGAGCUGAAGUCAGUCGAAGAUACCAGCUGGCUGCAACUGUUUAUUAAAAACACAGCACUGUGCAAACACGAAAGUGGACGUAUACGGUGUGACGCCUGCCCGGUGCCGGAAGGUUAAUUGAUGGGGUCAGCGCAAGCGAAGCUCCUGAUCGAAGCCCCGGUAAACGGCGGCCGUAACUAUAACGGUCCUAAGGUAGCGAAAUUCCUUGUCGGGUAAGUUCCGACCUGCACGAAUGGCGUAAUGAUGGCCAGGCUGUCUCCACCCGAGACUCAGUGAAAUUGAACUCGCUGUGAAGAUGCAGUGUACCCGCGGCAAGACGGAAAGACCCCGUGAACCUUUACUAUAGCUUGACACUGAACAUUGAGCCUUGAUGUGUAGGAUAGGUGGGAGGCUUUGAAGCGUGGACGCCAGUCUGCGUGGAGCCGACCUUGAAAUACCACCCUUUAAUGUUUGAUGUUCUAACGUGGACCCGUGAUCCGGGUUGCGGACAGUGUCUGGUGGGUAGUUUGACUGGGGCGGUCUCCUCCUAAAGAGUAACGGAGGAGCACGAAGGUUGGCUAAUCCUGGUCGGACAUCAGGAGGUUAGUGCAAUGGCAUAAGCCAGCUUGACUGCGAGCGUGACGGCGCGAGCAGGUGCGAAAGCAGGUCAUAGUGAUCCGGUGGUUCUGAAUGGAAGGGCCAUCGCUCAACGGAUAAAAGGUACUCCGGGGAUAACAGGCUGAUACCGCCCAAGAGUUCAUAUCGACGGCGGUGUUUGGCACCUCGAUGUCGGCUCAUCACAUCCUGGGGCUGAAGUAGGUCCCAAGGGUAUGGCUGUUCGCCAUUUAAAGUGGUACGCGAGCUGGGUUUAGAACGUCGUGAGACAGUUCGGUCCCUAUCUGCCGUGGGCGCUGGAGAACUGAGGGGGGCUGCUCCUAGUACGAGAGGACCGGAGUGGACGCAUCACUGGUGUUCGGGUUGUCAUGCCAAUGGCACUGCCCGGUAGCUAAAUGCGGAAGAGAUAAGUGCUGAAAGCAUCUAAGCACGAAACUUGCCCCGAGAUGAGUUCUCCCUGAGACUUAGAGUCUCCUGAAGGAACGUUGAAGACGACGACGUUGAUAGGCCGGGUGUGUAAGCGCAGCGAUGCGUUGAGCUAACCGGUACUAAUGAACCGUGAGGCUUAACCUUACAACGCCGAAG